UUAAACAAAAAUGUUUUUCUGCAGUUCCUGAGAGAUCCCAUGAUCCAGAGACAAAGGUGGCAGCUUUGGAGCAAGUGGAGAGCCAAGAAAAGGAUCCAGAACUGGAGUGGAAGGCUGGAGUGCAAUGGCAUGAUCUUGGCUCACCACAACCUCCGCCUCCCAGGUUCAAGCAAUUCUCCUGCCUCAGACUCCUGAUCCCGAGUGGCUGGGACUACAGGCAUGUGCCACCACACCCAGGAAAGAAAGGACACACACUGGCACACUACAGUGGAGACAUCUGGAUCCCUGAAAUUGUCUGGCGAAGAGAUGUCACUGAGUACCCAUAUGAAUAGGAGACAGAAGCCAGAGACAGAGGCAAAAAAAAAGAAAAUUAGAAUAGGAGACACAGGGAAGUAAACUGAUGUUUGUGGCUUAGCUUGAUUUUUGGUAAUUUAAAAGAUAAUGUUGAUAAUAUGAUUGAUACUGACUUUUAAGAAAGAGAAGAAAUAAAUAAAUAAAUCUCAUGAGAGACACAGAUGUAGGUGUCUUGAACCACUUUAUAGAGUUGUGAGUAUGUGGUCUGAAAUAUUUUAUGAAAAUGACGCCUUGGAUACAUUUUUUUCUUGUCACUUCCUUUGGUUUUGCAUUUUUAUGUGUGCGAUUUAGUGCUAUUAAAAUAGUUUAAAAAAUAAUGCUCAGAGUUGAUCAUGCAACUUAAAAAUUAAAUAGACAGGGAGACAGUUCUAAAAAGAAAUCUGAGGGGUAUGAGAUAAAAACGUGUUGAUCAUGGUCUUUCAAACAUGAAUGUGAAUAUGAAUACAUUUACAUGUAUACCUACAUAUAUAUAUAUAUAUGCACAGAUAAAAGUUUAUUGUUCUUAGGC